rnacentral:rRNA from 1 species
GAUGAACGCUGGCGGCGUGCCUAAUACAUGCAAGUCGAGCGAACAGACGAGGAGCUUGCUCCUCUGACGUUAGCGGCGGACGGGUGAGUAACACGUGGAUAACCUACCUAUAAGACUGGGAUAACUUCGGGAAACCGGAGCUAAUACCGGAUAAUAUAUUGAACCGCAUGGUUCAAUAGUGAAAGACGGUUUUGCUGUCACUUAUAGAUGGAUCCGCGCCGCAUUAGCUUGUUGGUAAGGUAACGGCUUACCAAGGCAACGAUGCGUAGCCGACCUGAGAGGGUGAUCGGCCACACUGGAACUGAGACACGGUCCAGACUCCUACGGGAGGCAGCAGUAGGGAAUCUUCCGCAAUGGGCGAAAGCUUGACGGAGCAACGCCGCGUGAGUGAUGAAGGUCUUCGGAUCGUAAAACUCUGUUAUUAGGGAAGAACAAAUGUGUAAGUAACUAUGCACGUCUUGACGGUACCUAAUCAGAAAGCCACGGCUAACUACGUG